rnacentral:rRNA from 1 species
CCUACGGGAGGCUGCAGUGGGGGAUAUUGCACAAUGGGGGAAACCCUGAUGCAGCGACGCCGCGUGAGUGAAGAAGUUUUUCGGUAUGUAAAGCUCUAUCAGCAGGGAAGAAAAUGACAGUACCUGACCAAUACGCCCCGGCUCACUACGUGCCAGCAGCCGCGGUAAUACGUAGGGGGCAAGCGUUAUCCGGAUUUACUGGGGGGAAAGGGAGCGUAGACGGUUAAGUAAGUCUGGAUGGAAAGCCCGGGGCCUAACCCCGGGACUGCUUUGGAAACUGUGUAACUGGAGUACAGGAGGGGCAGGCGGAAUUCCUGGGGUAGCGGUGAAAUGCGUAGAGAUCAGGAGGAACACCGGCGGCGAAGGCGGCCUGCUGGACUGAAACUGACGUUGAGGCUCGAAAGUGUGGGUAUCGAACAGGAUUAGAUACCCUUGUAGUC